rnacentral:rRNA from 1 species
CUACCAUGCAAGUCGAGCGGGAUAUACCGGUUUAGUUUACUAAGCUGGUAAAUUCAGCGGCGGACGGGUGAGUAACGCGUGAGCAAUCUGCCUUGUACAGGGGGAUAACAGCCGGAAACGGCUGCUAAUACCGCAUAAGGCCACAGUACCGCAUGGUACAGGGGUUAAAGGAGAGAUCCGGUAUAAGAUGAGCUCGCGUUCCAUUAGCUGGUUGGUGAGGUAACGGCCCACCAAGGCAACGAUGGGUAGCCGGCCUGAGAGGGUGAACGGCCACAUUGGGACUGAGACACGGCCCAAACUCCUACGGGAGGCAGCAGUGGGGGAUAUUGCGCAAUGGGGGAAACCCUGACGCAGCAACGCCGCGUGAGUGAAGGAGGCCUUCGGGUCGUAAAACUCUGUGACAAGGGAAGAAGAAAGUGACGGUACCCUGAGAGGAAGCCCCGGCUAACUACGUGCCAGCAGCCGCGGUAACACGUAGGGGGCAAGCGUUGUCCGGAAUUACUGGGCGUAAAGGGUGCGUAGGCGGCCGAGCAAGUCCGAUGUGAAAGACCACGGCUAAACUGUGGGGGUGCAUAGGAAACUGUCCGGCUUGAGUGCAGGAGAGGAAAGUGGAAUUCCUAGUGUAGCGGUGAAAUGCGUAGAGAUUAGGAAGAACACCAGUGGCGAAGGCGACUUUCUGGACUGUAACUGACGCUGAGGCACGAAAGCGUGGGGAGCGAACAGGAUUAGAUACCCUGG